rnacentral:lncRNA from 1 species
AAAACAAAUUUACGCUUUUCAAAGAAACUAGAUGUUUCAUUUCCAUUAAAGUAACAUACAUCAUGAUAACAUUCUAACAAUUCCUCCAAUUUGCUUAAAGCAUUCUUCCCCUACACUAUGAAAACAAUCCCCCCAAAAGGACAUAGAACUAAGAAAAAUAAAGCCCUGUGGAUCUAGUCUUUUUUAAAACAGAUUAAGCUUUCUUAGGAGACUUGGUGGCCUUUGAUGGAGAUUUGGGUUCUUUGCCGGCGGCCUUUUCAGUCUUCUUCGGCAAAAGAACUGGGUUGAUGUUCGGCAACACACCACCGUGAGCGAUUGUUACGCCGGCGAGAAGCUUCCCUAAUUCUUCGUCGUUCCUCACGGCAAGUAGAACGUGCCUUGGGAUGAUCCUGUUUUUCUUGUUGUCACGUGCAGCGUUCCCAGCCAAUUCCAGGACCUGAAUCCAAAUUCAAAUUGAGAAACACGAAAUUCAAGUAUACGAAAACACAGUUAAAGGAUUUCAAUUUAAUUUGAUAUACCUCAGCAGCCAAGUACUCAAGAACAGCAGCCAAGUAAACCGGGGCUCCGGUUCCAACACGCUGUGAAUACCUUCCUUUCUUCAAGUAACGGCCGAUCCUACCAACGGGGAACUGGAGACCAGCUUUGACAGACCUUGAAACGGGCUUCUUCUUCGGGCCACCACCUUUCCUUCCUCCGGCUCCCUUCUUUACUUUUCCUGAAGUUUCCAUUACUUCGAAACGACCCAAAUGCUUCGUUAACUUAAAACUCUUAGCUUUAGAAUUAGAGGAUAUUGAUUGGUACAGGAGAACUGAAGAAUGGAAUGGACGUCUCGGUAUUUUAUAGCAGUGGAUUUGGUGGAGAUGGUGUGAAGCAGGCGAGGAAUGAGUGCCGUUAGAUGGGAACUUAUUCGACGGUUCAAAUUUAGAUAUUGGGGAUCCGUGCGAUCUCCAAACAACCAAUGAGAAACAAACUAUCAAUUUUUUGAAUUUUUAUCUCAUUCUGAAGUAAUUUGGGCGCCAUUUACAAAUUUUUUGGUUUCCCGCUUCUGAAUUUCGGGUUCUUUUGAAGGCAUUUGUGGUUAGACAUAUUUGUUCGUCAUUUUAGAAUUUUCAGGUUGAAAGUUCAAUUACUAAAAAAUAUUAAAUUAUAAUUAUGGGUAAUUAUUUAAUACACUAUAAUCGGAGUUUUUUAAACUCUACAGGUGAGUUGAAAGUGAAGGUUAAAAUACCAUAGAGACACUUCUACUAAGAGUGAAGGUAUAUUUUUGUUUUUCAGCUCAAAAUAUGGAUAAAUUAAUUUGUAUACAUUUAAAUUAAAAAGUAAAUUAUUCAUUUCUUUUAAAAAAUUAUUCAUUUAUACUGUUAAAAAUUAGCGACAAUGAUAGAAUAACUAAAUAGUGAUUCUUAAUAUGCCACGUGUAUAUUAUGUUAAUGUAUAUGAAUCAAUUUUUAAGAGUAAAAAUAGACAAAAAAAUUUUAAUAGAAUAAUCAAUGUAUUAUUUGAUCUAGUGUAAAAUGGUAGAAUUAAAUUUAGAAGUGGAAGGUUUGAGUUUGGGUUUUAUCAUACUCAUUAAGAUUUACCACCAAACCAAAGCGAUUCUACUCGUUAUCCAUUAAGUAAAAAGAAAUUAAAGAUAAAAAAUGAGACAACAACCCAUAAAAAUUAAACCUCAAUUCUAAAAUCAAUGACUUCAAUUUUAAAAAAGAAGUCAAGAUACAUAAAACCCUUAAAUUAUUUUCUAAAAAAAACGAAAAUAAUGAGGUAAAAAUAAUUGUUGGAUACAAAACCAAAAAGCAAAGAGAUAGAUAAACAAAUAGAGAAAAUACAACUUUCAUGAAAUUAAAGUAUUAAAAUUGGGGAAAAAAAAGAAAAUAAUACCUAAAUUUCCCCUCUAUUUUCUCACUUUGAUCGUUGGAAAAAACUUUAACUUCAUUUUUCCAGGAUUUGUUAACAAUUGUAUUGAAUUUUUAGAUGAAUGGAUUAUUCUAAAGAGAGAAAAAUACAACAGAGAAAGAUAAACAAAAAGAUUGAAAAUAAUUUUAAUUUUUGGUAAUUGUCACUCAACUUAGAUUUUUUUUUCCUUUUCUCUUCUUCUAAUGUCUAGUUAGGGUUUUUAUUGGAGCUGUUUAAAUGACAACAUAGACUCCAGCGUGGCUAGUUAAAUGUCGCGUCAAUUCACCAUUAUGUUUGUAACGGAAAAUGGUUAGUAGGACCAAGUUGUUGUUUUUUGAAAAUUGAGUGAUUGUUGUAAAGAGAGAAAGAUAAACAAAGAAAUUGAAAAUAAUUUUAAGUUUUGGUAACCGUCACUCAACUUGGAUUUUUUUUCUUUUUCCCUUCUUAUACUAUCCAAUUAUGGUUUUUAUCGGGGUUGUUUAAAUGACAACAUAGGCUCCAACGUGGCCGUUUAAAUGCCAUGUCAAUUUUUUGUUACAUUUGUAAUGGAAAAUAGUUAGUAGGAAUGUUUUGUUAUUUUUUGAUAGUUGAGUGUCAAAGAAUAACCCAUAAAAAUUAAACCUCAAUCCUGAUAGAGUUGUUUAAAUGACAACAUAGACUCUAACUUGGUCAGUCAAAUGCCACGUCAAUUUACCGUUACGUUUGUAAUAAAAAUUGUUUAAUAAGAAUAUUUUGUUAUUUUUUAAAAGUUGAGUAACUGUUGGUAUAAUUUACCAUACUUUUUACCUAUAAAUAAAUUAUAAAAUAUUGUCCAUGUUUGAACUUACAGCGUGUUUGGUUCAAUAUUAUUAACAAUUAUGUUAAGAUAUGGCUAAAUUAUUUAUUAUUUUUUUAUUAAAUUAUAUUUAAUAAUAAUCUUAUUAAAAUUUAAUAACAAUAACAAUAAUUAUCUAUUUAACAAAAAAUUCUGCUAAGGGUACUUUGGCUAUUUAAGCCUUUUUCCUUAUGCUAUUACAACAUAUAUUAUAUUAAACCAAACACAAUAAUACUAUUACAGAUUUAUUCCAUUUCAUUCAAUCAAACAACUUUAUUACUAAUUACAACUCUAUUUCAUUACAGUUUUAUUUCAUUCCCCCAAACCAAACAUGCACUUUAAUGUUUAAUGUGAACAAUAACUUCAACAACUAAUCAGAAGAACCCUUAGAAGCUAUCAUGUGAGUAUUGGUUGUACAUACCACAUGAUAAAUUAUCAGAAUCUUAUAGCUUAGGUUAGUACUACAUUUGAACUUGUGAUAACGUGCUCGUAACCAAUGAGAAUUUGCUUCUCAUACACAUGUCCUUUUGCUCAAGCAGCCUCCAUGAUUUCAUCUUAUUUAUAAAAGAUGAAAACAAAAUUGUACCAACAAAAAUACAUCAAGAAUAGAAACUAGAUGUUUCAUUUCCAUUAAAGUAACGUACAUGAUAAUGGGACUCUUAACAGUUUUUCUAGUUUGCUUAAAACAUCCCAAAGGAAAUACAACUAAUAAAAAUAAAGCCAUAUUAAACUAUGUUUCUUAACAAUCAAAUUAAGCUUUCUUAGGAGACUUGGUAGCCUUUGAUGGAGAUUUGGGUUCUUUGCCGGCGGCCUUUUCAGUCUUCUUCGGCAAAAGAACUAGGUUGAUGUUCGGCAAUACGCCACCACGAGCGAUGGUUACGCCAGCGAGAAGCUUCCCUAAUUCUUCGUCGUUCCUCACGGCGAGUAGCACCUACCUUGGUAUGAUCCUAUUUUUCUUGUUGUCCCAAAUUAAGAAACACGAAAUUUAAGUAUACCCAAACACAGUUAAAUAAUUUGAUUUUAAUUUGAUAUACCUUAGCAGCCAAGUACUCAAGAACUGCAGCCAAGUAAACUGGGGCAUUUUCAGUUUAC